CCUACGGGCGGCAGCAGUGGGGAAUCUUGCGCAAUGCUCGUAAGAGUGACGCAGCGACGCCGCGUGAAUGACGAAGGCCUUCGGGUCGUAAAGUUCUUUCGACAGGGAAGAAAAUGCCUAUAAGUAGCUGUGUAUGUAUUGACGGUACCUGUAUAAGCAGCCCCGGCUAACUCCGUGCCAGCAGCCGCGGUAAUACGGAGGUGGCGAGCGUUGUUCGGAGGGACUGGGCGUAAAGAGCACGUAGGCGGUGUUGUAAGUCAUUAGUCAAAGACUAGAGCUCAACUUUAGUAAGGCUAGUGAUAGUAUAAUACUAGAGUAUCAGAGAGGAUUGCAGAAUUCCUGGUGUAGCGGUGAAAUGCGUAGAUAUCAGGAGGAAUACCGUUAGCGAAGGCGGCAAUCUGGCUGGAAACUGACGCUGAGGUGCGAAAGCGUGGGUAGCAAACAGGAUUAGAUACCCUUGUAGUC
rnacentral:rRNA from 1 species